rnacentral:rRNA from 1 species
UACGUAGGGUGCAAGCGUUAAUCGGAAUUACUGGGCGUAAAGCGCGCGUAGGUGGUUUGUUAAGUUGGAUGUGAAAUCCCCCGGGCUCAACCUGGGAACUGCAUUCAAAACUGACAAGCUAGAGUAUGGUAGAGGGUGGUGGAAUUUCCUGUGUAGCGGUGAAAUGCGUAGAUAUAGGAAGGAACACCAGUGGCGAAGGCGACCACCUGGACUGAUACUGACACUGAGGUGCGAAAGCGUGGGGAGCAAACAGG